ACAGAGCACUUGAGAGGGAGAGAGAAAUAGGAGAACAGGCGAGAGAGAGUGAGGGAGAGCGAGAGUGAGUUUCGUUGAAGGUUCGUGAGGUAGCUGCAAGAAGAGCCAGAGAUGUUAGGUUGCUAAUUAGUUCGGGAGCUGAGAGACCAAGACUAUACACCCGGAAGGCUCAACUCAUUGAGUUAUCAUUUUGGGGUCUUUGGGACCACUGAUUCGGCAGUAUAUAAAUAGGACACCUAGACCGCUGAUCCAGGGGAUACAAAAAGGAUGCCUAGACCGCUGAUUCGACGGGAUAUAAAAUGGAUGCCUAGACUCCUACUGCUGAAGUGUGUAACCUCACAUUUUUUUUAUACAUGUACAUGCAUACUAUGCACACAUAUAUAUAUCUCAAGGAAAUCUAUGGGCUGAGGCCAUUAAGCCCACAAGGCCUCCAAUAUCCUUAAGCCCAUAAUAUUUUAUUUGUAAUUAAUUUUUUUUAUUUUUCCUUC